CCCUUAGAUGUUCUGGGCUGCACGCGCGCUACACUGAUGCACUCAACGAGUUUUCGACCUUGCCCGAUAGGGCUGGGUAAUCUUUUUAAAAUGCAUCGUGAUGGGGAUAGAUUAUUGCAAUUAUUAAUCUUCAACGAGGAAUUCCUAGUAAGCGCGAGUCAUCAGCUUGCGUCGAUUACGUCCCUGCCCUUUGUACACACCGCCCGUCGCUCCUACCGAUUGGGUGUGCUGGUGAAAUGUUCGGAUCGGCCGUUUGUCGCGGUUUCCGCGUCAUGUGGCUGAGAAGUUCAUUAAACCCUCCCACCUAGAGGAAGGAGAAGUCGUAACA
rnacentral:rRNA from 1 species